UUUAUUUGAAUGCUUAUUAGGCUUGUAGCCAAUUUGCAUGUGAAUCCAAGAAUAAAUUAAAAUAUAAUUAAUCUUUGUUCCUAUGUUAGUGGUAAAUUUCUUGCCCUAGGUUCUCUCAACUGAUAUCAUUUUAAUUGCAUUUUCUAUCAAAUUAUUUAGUUCAAUAGUCUUCACAAAUUCUCUUUUUCAAAUAUUUUUAAGAAAAUAACUGUACCCCAAUUCCUGUGGAUCAAUAUCCGUAAUCACUAUCCUACCAGAUACGUGCUAUUGCGUGGUCUUUAAAGUUGACUAUCAAUUUUUGGUGCCGUUGUCGGGAAUUGCUAGCAUAGUUGUUUUUCUCUUCAUAAAAAAAAACUUUCAAAAAAAUAUAUAUCUAAAAUAAAAUAAAAAUAUUUUUUAUUUUUGUUACUUUUCUUAUCUCUUUUUUUCUCUCUUACUAAUUUUUGAUUUUUCUCUUGGUAUUAUUUGAUCAGGAAUCGAAGAGGAAAUCUAGGACGAUCAAAAAGAAAACUGCUGGAAAAGGAAUGCUGUAGAGGUUU
rnacentral:lncRNA from 1 species